rnacentral:tRNA from 1 species
GGGUUAGUGGUCUAGUGGUAUGAUUCUCGCUUUGGGUGCGAGAGGUCCGGGGUUCGAUUCCCCGUUAACCCC